ACUCCCAGGCAGAAGGGGAAGUGGGUCUCUGCUCAAGGUCUGGUGUUCCCACACUCAGGAAGGCAGUGUGAAUGAGGAGUAGAGAGGAGAAGGGGCAAGGACAAGACCAAACAGGAUGAGACCAAGGCCAUGAAGCAAUUGUGAUGAAGCCGCGUGGGCAUGCUCCACAAGAAUUAUCCAAACGAGCUGACCAUAUCAUCUUAUGAGAAUGAGGGCAUCACCACAAAUCCCAUAACUCACUGUUUUGGAGUGCAGUCCUUAUGAAACUGGCACAUCAGUGUAUUAGUUCCUGCUGCUGUGACGAGAUACCUAACGAAAGAGGCUUAAGGGAAACUUUGGUGGUCCAGCUCAUCAUGGGGCGGGGAGGCAUGUUGGUAAGAACACAAGAAGACUGACCACAUUGUGUCUGCUGUGAAGAAGCCGAUGAAGGACAGUCCUGGGUUCUCUUCAAUUUUUUUUGCACUUGUUCAGUCUGAGACCCUUGCUCAUGGGAUGGUUUUACCCACAUCCAAGGAGUGUCCUUAGAUAAGCUUCUCUGGAAUUUCCUUAGAGACACACAGAGAACUGUGUCUCCUAGAUGAUUCCAAACUCAGUGAAGCUGGCAGGGAAUGUCAACUAUCACAGGCAGUGAGUCUGUCCUCCCUUUCAGUACUUGUGACUUAAUAAGCCACCCUUUUCUUCUGUCCCUUAUCAGGAGUUAGGUAUCCCACUGCUCCUAUGUCCUAGGAAGAGAAUCCUUCCCUCAUCAAUAAAUUCAUUAGGAGGUCAUUAAGUAAUGCAGACAACAAACCCUGUUCCUACUCUCCAAGUUUUAGUUGUGGGACUUGGACAAAUCCUAUAGCUUCCCAGAGUCUGAGUGGCCUGGACCUGUAGACCAGCACCUGAUUCAUGAGUUACUGGGAAGAUAAUGAGGGUAAUUUAUUCAACAACUCUUCUGUGAGGAUUUUGUUGGAACCAGGAAUAGGAACUGUAGUGAUAAAUGUGAUUAGGAGUUCUGGUCACAGAAAACUGAUACUCUUGAGAGGCAAUAGAAAUGAACAGUGUGGCUAUCGUAUGAAGCAUUAGGAAGAAAAUCACAGGAGUGGGACAGUAUGUGAGUAGGUGUUUGUCUUAGGGUUUUCUAUUGCAUGCUCUCCAUGACCCCUUUAUGCCCUCAAAACCAGCACCACCUGGGCGACUCCUACACUACCAAGUUCAACUGCCAGCUGAGGCACAACCUUGGCUGCCUCCGGAACACAGUUUUGUGUGCUUUCAAGAAACACUUCCCAGAAGAUGUCACCUUAAUGAUGGUCUCUUCUUGAUCAUCACAGCCGUCUCAGCUCCAGUCCUAGGCCUUGAACCCAGGUCCUCAUGAAUGCUAGAGCAUCAGCAAAUGGAAACACAAGAUCCUAGCAGUAAUUUUGAGUUAUCACGAGUUCUGAGGAAGUGACUAAGUGAGCCUCUGCUGUCCUAUCUGCCCGAUGCUUCCGGAGGUUAAGGGGACAACUGCAGACUGUUUCAAAAACGUGAUUCUUUAAACAGUUUUAGAUUUUGCUUUCCAGUUAAAACUGUGGGAAAUGUAAACAUCUGUACCUUUUUUUGUUUCCUACCAAAGGGUUAAAUAUCACAAAACUCCAUUCUUUAAAAAAAAAAAUUGUAAAGAAGCUAUUUGGCAAAAAUUCAAAUUCUUCCAGGGUCAGCACUUCCUGAAAUCAAAAUAAAUUCUCGGUUCAUUUCUCUCUGGGCACUGUACCUCUGUAUUAUGCAGUCCUGGGAGAGUGUGAGGUUGAGCUCUGACCAUGCAGUAAGGCAGGGAACCUCCUUGCUUUAGGACUAAAAGCCCAGCAGGAGCCCCCGGAGGGUGUGCUUACCUGCUCGAUUUAGCAUAGCUUUGCAGUCUUCAGCAGAAGUAAAACUUUUGCCUUGCAUAAAUACUGUGGGCUGUGUGGCCACAUCUGAGACCUCGGGUCCAUUUCUUACAAAAAUAAUACAGCCCCACUGGAGAAAUUAUAAAGAACAUAGAAAAGUACUCAGAGGAAAAUAACUGCAUGUGCUCCAAUGUGUUGCUGCGCCAUCCCUCUUGGGCUCACCCUUUAUUUCUUUUCAGGUUUUUAGACAGGAUUUCACUAUGUAGCCCAGGCUGGCCUCCAAGUAACAAUUCUACUGCCUUAUCACCCUGACUGAUGAGAUUACAGGUGUAUACCACCCUGCCCAACAUCUCUGUCUAUUUACAUUUCUGUUUUAUAUCUUAUGUGUAUUAAUUUUAUUCUAAUUUUAACCAAUAAUUACAUCAAAAGCACAUGAAUAUUAUCGAUAAUUUCCAGAAACAUCUUAAGUGCCUGUGCCAUAUUGUUGUAGUUGGAUUUGCCAUGGCUUUCCUAAUGAUAUUCUUACCACUGGCCAUUUAGACUAUAAUAUUUUACACUGAAGAUUAAAAUAUUAUUGAGUCUCACAAUAUUUAACCUUUUGUAAGGUGAGGAAGACCCCAAAUGAUACAGAACAGAGGUUGGCUGACUGGCUUUGAGUCAGUCCUAGCCAGCCUGCUGUUGGAAGUAAAGUUUACAGGGAUAUAACUGAGUUCUCUUGCUCUUACAUCAUCUGUGACUGCUUUCCUUCAAGGACACAGUUGAACAGUUUAGGUUUGUGAGGCCUUGGUUUGCUAACUGGCCCUUUAUUAAAUCUCAGCACCUGGGAGGCAGAGGCAGGCAGAUCUCUGAGUCUGAGGUCACCCUGGUCUACAAAGCCAGUUCUGGGACAGCCAGGGCUACACAGAGAAACCUUGUCUCAAAAAAAUUUUUUAAGAAAACUUUGUCAAUUCCAGGUAAAGAAUGCAGAA